AUUCAUAGAGAGAAACUAUAAGACCACAAAGGGAACAAAAAUAUUAGAGAAUACAACUUGACUACAACAAGUACCACGGAAUAUAGGUCAAAAAAAAGGAAAAAAAAAACUUAAAACCGGUGGAUUCAGUACAAAGGCAGGAAGCCGAUUCCUUCUUGAUUCCCAUACCUUUACAGAGGAAUUACAUGGUAGAUUAUUCAAGAUUAAAAAGACAUUAGCAAACUUUCCCUUUAAUUCAGAGUUUACGAUCUAUUUCACAAGAGGUCCAUUGGAAUAUUGUUAAUUCUACAACGGCGUGAACGUCAGGGUCUACAGACCCUACUUCAAUAUUAGGUUGACUUGGGAAAUUCUAGGACUAUACUUUCGUUGCACGUUGAGUGUUCUCCAAAAAUGCUAAAUGGAACUUAUGGCCUCACUGGCAUUGUUGCUGCUUUCACAAUUAUUUAAACACAAAUACUAUGUGAUUCGAUGAGAUGGCGGAUGGAGUUCUCCACUUUUGUCAUUGUCUGUUAGCUUGCGAUAAGCCCGGGCAGGAUGAAGAAUCAAGUUCUCUAUUUUGAUCUAUAGCGACCCCAAGUCUUUGUAUCCGGUUCUUCCCAUAAUCUUCAAAGUAGUAGAACAUCUUUCUCAGUAGCUAGAUAGAACAACAAAUGAUCUCCCGCCAACGAAUCAUCUUUCUCACCAUGUAUGAUGAAGGCAAUCCAAUUUCCUACGGCUAUCUUUGCACUUCACACAGCCUCCUCUUGCUUCGGUCUUUUGAAUUUCUAAUGUUCUAUAGAGUACUAACAAAGGGAGGGGAAAUUCUUGAUUCUAUUUAUCUCCACUUCUUUGAUUCCUUAUUACAUAUUCGCUAAAGGUCAGAUCUAUUUCAAAGAAAAGAUGUGAUUUUGAUUAGCAAGCUCUUAGCUUUCAUCGUAGUGAGAGAGGAAUCGAGGCUGAUCCAGCAAAGGUGAAAGCAUUGUCAAUCUAUGCCAAACUAAGGGCACCUGAGGAUGAAAAGAGCUAGUACCCUUUCUCGUUCGGUUAGCCAGUAGCUAGGGCACCACAGAGAUAAGAGGAAAAGAUAAGAGGAAAAGACUAUCCCUCCAGGUUAACCGCCGACGACAACAUCUCGGAAAAAAUCUCUACCUUGUCUUAAGGUUCUUUGGUGUACUAACUUACCAUAAGCUCGAGUCAUAUUAUGCCGAUACAACUCAAGAUUCUGCUAAAGGCAGCCAGCAGUCUAUGGCAGGCAUUUCGCGGUUUCACUAUCUGAGGGAGGGGACGGAAAGAAAGGAGUCGAUCACCUAGCCGAUCCCGUACGAUCGUUGUUUCAUUUCAACCGAUCAGCCGAGGAGGAAGAUUGGGUCAUGUCCUCUAUAGAUAAGUAAUUUGCACCAAUUAAUUAAACGAGUCAAGUUAAAACGAAACAAUAAGCUAAAAUCCACAUCAAUUCUCCUCUUCUCCUCACCUACCAUCCUCUACCCUCACUCUGCCUGGAAUCUGGAUGGAGAGAAAGCGAAGGGAAGAGAGAAACAAAAAGAAAAUUAUCUUUCCCACCAUACAAACAUAGGAAAACCUCCAAACUCGCAGUCGAUCUCUCCACACAUGCUUAUAAGACAACGAAAGCCCCAACUAAGUUCAGCAUCUGGAUUCAAUAAUUGAGCAAAAGUAUACGGAACUUACCUGAAAUUCGAUCCACAUACUUGCUUCAAUGAAACUGUGCUCGCGUAAAGUAAUCGAAAUAUGCUAAACAAACUCAUAAGCGAAGAUUAGGGAUUGGUUCGAUGCGUUUUGACCUAGCAGUUGUCACAAGCAACGAUCACAAAGACUGUGUGGCAGCAAGAUCUGAUCUAGAUCUAUCGUUAAAUUUGGCCCUUUAUUAGUCGGGGAGAAGAGCAGUAGUAACCUGGAGCAGCGGUCUGGUAGGCGCGGGCGUAGUAGGUGGGGGCAGAAUGGGGCGGCAGGUGGCCGGUGAUGCCGGGCGGCGGAGUCGGCUGGGGGAAGCCCAUCGCCGGCGGCUGCGGAGGGUAGGUGGGCACGCCUUGGAAGGUGCCGUACUGCUGCUGCUGUUGCGGGGUCUGGGGCUCGCCCGUGCUCUUCCCCUCCUCCUUGCUCGUCAUCUCCUUCUUUCUUGUUUCUCUCCUGUUUCUUUUUCCUUUUUUCUCUGCUAUUAUGAGCUUACGACGACCCUCUCUCACUCUCUAUUAUUAUAUCUCUUACUAUUAUGCGCGUUUGUUUACAUGUGCAUUAGGUUGUGAUGGUUCCGGUAGCUGAAACAAGCUAUCACAGUAGUUAAUGGAUUUGCGUGGGUCUCCGCUGGUGGGCCGUCUGGAUUGAUAUGUGUCUAUCUGUACGUCCUCCCAGAUUUUCAUAAAGAUUUCAAAAUUAUAUUUUUUAAAUAAACACGACAAUGAUUUUUUCAGGAGCACUAUUCUUCUAAUUUUUUAACUCAUGAUCAUUUCUAAUAUUUGAAUUAAUAUUAUUUUUUGACGAAAGUACUAAAUCUUAGAAGGAUUACUAUUAUGUCAAUCCUACAAUGCUGAUACAAGUACCAAAAAGUCGAAAGUGACAACCUUUUCACUCUUUCGAAGAAAGUAUACUACUCUAUACAAAGUAUACAAAAUUUACCUCAACUAAUAUCUAGUUUGAUUUGACCAUCUGACUUAUAAAAUUUUUUAUUUUAUUAUCUAAUCUUGUAAUUUAUUGAUUUAAGUCGGUUAGUGGCCCUUUAACUUUAAAAUUUGGACGUCUUAUUUAUGUUUAUAGGUUUUAGUUAAUAUAUUUUAUAUAAUUCAUAUAACAAUAAAUUUUUUAAAGUAAGCAAUUAGUUUAAAAUUUAUAUCCGAAGAUGAGCCAUUAAAUUAUUUAAAUCAAACAAAUUAAACGGUUGGGUACUAUAAAAUUAGAAUUUAGAAAAUCAGAUAGUCAAAUCAAAAUGGUCUACAGUUUAAAUAAGUUUUAUAUAUUUCUAUUUAUAAUUUAUUAAAAGUGUUCUACACCAUAAAUAAUAUACAUAUCAAAAAAUAAUAAUUUUUUAUUUUUAUCUAUGAUUUUUUUUUAAUAAGCAAUGCUACUUGUACAUUCCAAAAUGCGGCGUAUUUCUUAUACCUUUUUCAUCCAAGAGUUAUCAUCUCUUACUUGUCACAUUAUUUUUUUUUAAACUAAAAUCUAUUUGGAUUUUUUUUUAUGUACAAAUAGAAUUUUUCUUUUUAAUGAAAAAUUCUAGUUGUACAUCUAAAAGAAUGUAUAGAUCUUACUCUCCAUUCCAAAGUUCAAAAAAAUUUAAAUAAAUUAUAGUAAAAAGAAAGAAAAAUAAUGUAAUAAGUAAAGAAAUUAUGAUCUUGGACCUAAAUUUGCCACCGUUUGGUUUGGGGUUAAGUAAAAUCUUGUUAUUUCAGAGAUAGAGUUAAGUUCGGGGUUAAUGUGGGAUUAGAGUAAUUUUGUGUUUGAUUGAGAAUUGGAUUUAGUCCAGGUAUAAAUAAAAUAGUAUUUUGUUGGAGUAGACGGGAUAAGAAGAAUAGUGGAUAAAAUAGUAUUUUGUUUUGUUGGGGUAGCGGGUAACCCCAUCCCAAAUCGGCUAUUCCGGAUAGCCUAUUUGGGAUGGGGUUAGCUAAAUCCACCUCCGAAAUUGGAUGUUUAGAAAUAAUUUCGUGAUUAAGUGGUUAUUCCACCUCUUAACUCCGAACAAAACGGGUGCAAAAAGGUGUGGGAUAUUAUCUAUUUUAAAGUGUACCAGUCGCAUUAAUCUAAGUACUAAAG
rnacentral:lncRNA from 1 species